UAUCUUUUAGAAAUGAAUUAAUUUUUUCAAAUAAAGUAAUUCUCUUGAAAUUGGUUUGUCAUGUCGUUCAAUAUGACACUUUUUAUUUGUUAUCCAGUUUCAAAUUGCUUUAAAAAAUUCAUAAUGUUAUUAAUUAAGUUCAAAUUGCCCCAUCAGUUAAUUAUCUUGUUCAUAUGAGACCAGGAUUGCAUAUUUUAUAUUGCUUUUAUAUUAUAUUUGCUACUAACAUUGUUAUGCAGAUUUUGUGAUACACCAUUCAUAUUAACUUAAAGAUUGGGUUUUCAUCUCCCUUAAAAUGGCACGUUAAGUUCACGAUUGGAGUAUCAUCUCCCUUCAAAUGACACAUUAAGGUUGAGAUUAGUUUGUCAUCUCCCUUUCAAUGUCACGUUAAGUUCAAGAUUGAGUUGUCAUCUCCCUUCAAAUGACAUGUUAAGUUCAAGAUUGGAUUGUCAUUUCCCUUCAAAUGACACGUUAAGUUCAUGAUUGAGUUGUCAUGUCCCUUCAAAUGACACGUUAAGUUCAAGAUUGGACUGUCAUCUCCAUUUAAAUGACACGUUAAGUUCAAAAUUGGGUUGUCAUCUCCCUUCAAAUGACAUGUUAUGUUCAAAUUGGAUCGCCUGCCUUUCAAAGAGACAUGUUGGGUUGUCACCUCAUUCAAAGUGACAUUUUAUAUUCAAAUUGAAUUGUCCGCCUUUCAAAGGGACGUGUUGGGUUGUAACCUCAUUCAAAGUGAUUUGUUAUAUUCAGGUUGGGUCUUCCACCUUUCAAAGAGACACGAUAGGUUGUCACUUCCAUUCAAGUGACAUGUUAUGUUCAAGUUAGGUUGUCCGCCUUUCAAAGAGACACGUUGGGUUGCCACCUCGUUCAAAGUGGCACGUUAUGUUCAAGUUGGGUUGUGUAUCUUUCAAAGAGACACAUUAGGUUGUCACCUCCAUUCAAGUGAUAUGUUAAGUUCAAGUUGGGUCGUCCGCCUUUCAAAGAAACACAUUGGGUUGUCACCUCGUUCAAAGAGACAUGUUGGGUUGUCACCUCGUUCAAAGUGACAUGUUAUAUUCAAGUUGGGUCGUCCCUCUUUCAAAGAGACAUGUUGGGUUGUCACCUCGUUCAAAGUGACAUGAUAUAUUCAAGUUGGGUCAUCCGCCUUUCAGAAUGACAUGUUGGGUUGUUACCUCGUUCAAAGUGACAUGUUAUAUUCAAGUUGGGUCGUCCGCCUUUCAAAGAGACGUGUUGGGUUGUCACCUCGUUCAAACUGAUAUGUUAUUCACGUCAUCCUACUUUCAAAAGCGCAGUCGGCUGACGUAGAGUCUAGCUCAAAAGUUCUACUAACGUGUUAAUUAUUUUCUUCAAAGUUUAUCAAAUCAAAAUUGGGUUUGUCAACUUUGUUUGACCAGGAUUUCUUUCAUCUAUCCUAAUCAAACAAAUGGGCAAGUUGUUGACAUCAAAUUUUGAUCUAAUAAUUUUAAAAUUAAUAUUUCUUAAAUAUUUUAUUUUAAAUAGUUCAAAAUACAUGUUUUGUCAUUUUAAUGCAAUUUGUAGAUAAUCAUACUUUGUCUCCAAGUAUUGUGAUUUUUAUCGGUAUGUUUAUAUUAUUUUGUCACAGCUAGACGUUCAAAUAUUUGUUCAUUUUUUAUAAAAUUAUUAUUUCUGUUAAAUUGCAUUUUUACAUGUAAUUGAUUACGUUCACUAAAAUUUUCAUAUUCAUUUUACUUGUUACAUUUUUAAUAUUCAUUUUCAUAUUCUACGCAGUUCAAAAAUUUAUUCAAAUUCGAAUACAAUUUGCAUACACAGAUAUUUUAUCAAUCUAACGGUUUUUUGGAGCACGAUCUCAAGCCCAUAACUUAGGCCAAUUUUUAACAACUCUUAUUUAAAGAAAUAUUUACUCAUUAGGUUAAAGGGGUGUAAAAUUAUGUAUUUUCAUAUUUUUAUAUCUAUCAUUGACCAUCACAAAAUUAGCUAGAACAAUCCAUAUUUUUCAGUGAAGCUCCGGCCAUUCACCCGGCAACCAGAACCACUUCAACCUUCAUCCCUCUUCCCCAAUUUUCCGGUGAGACCUCACCAUGUGUUUCUCCAAACACAAUCCAUAUUUUCGGUAAAGCUCCGCCAACCAGAACCACUUCUACCUUCAUCUCUCUUCCCCAAUUUUCCGGUAAAACCUCACGAUGUAUUUCUCCAAACAACAGCUAGUUAUCACUAUCCGUUUCUCCUCCCUUCUUCCGGCCAAAACAACACCCAAAACCAACAAAACUAGAUCGCAACAACAUCUUUUCCAGCCACCUCCAAAACCCCAUUUUUAUUCUCCUCUUUGCUAGCAGCAGCCAGACCCAAUCACCAUCCCAAACCUGCCUGAUAACAGCUUCACUGGCCAGCAGCUAAACGGAGCACCAUCUCCGGUGAAACCCACUAUGUUUUCCAGCCAACACCACCAGAAAACUACCCAUUCCCUCCACUGUUUCGACCCCCAAAUACAUCAUGAAACAACCACCAAAACCCCACGCCAGCCAGCCAAACAACACAAAACCCCUUUUCCUUUUUUUUUUUAAUUGUUUCCGACAGACCAGUUUCAAGCCACUAAAAAAAAUAUUUUUACUCUUUUUUCCAGCAACUCUAUGGCCACCGGCGAGGAGCGAGGAGCUCCAAUGAACCGGAGCACUCAGACCAGUUUCCUUUCCCCUUUCCCUCUUCAGAUUUUUGCUUGUUUUGUAGGUAUCCCUCCGAACUCCGGCGGCAUAACAACCCGAACUCUACUCUUAGCCGUGGUGAAACUUUUAGAUUUGGUCAGAAAAUACUAACCACUUGUUACCCUUUUUCUUUUCAUUUUUUAUGUAUUAUUAUUGGUGAAUACUUUUAGAUAUCUAAUUUUAUUGUUGACACCUCUUUGGCAAUGAUUUAUUUUGUCAUUAUACUAAGUUUCUAUUAUGUUAUUUGUUAAGUAGAUUUGAUAGUUCUCAUUUGUUCAUUAAUGGUUGUGUUUUUUUAUUUAUUUAUUUUAUUUUAUAUCAUCAAAGUUGUGAAGUAUUUGAUUAAUGUUGGAAUUCAUUGAUUAAUUUAAUUGAUCAUCUCUAUUAUCAAUAAUAUUUAUUUAACCAAGAA